rnacentral:lncRNA from 1 species
UGAAAAGUGCAUAAAGAAUAACAACUGGACAACAUUGAAGAUCAAGUCAAUUUGUGGAAGCAGUUAAGCAAAUAUGUAUGAAAUUCAAUCCGAAGAAGCCGAGGCCAAUAAAUUGAAUUCUCCAUGCUAGUGCAAACAAAGAAGAAAAUUAAAGCUAAAGUGGCCUGCACGUGAGAAGCAAUUGCAUGGCAUUACAAAAAGAAUGAAAAUUUCAAGUGGGCUCCACGUGCAUGGGCUCAAAGUCGGUUGUGCUUGGCUUGUUUUAAAUCCUUUUGAUUUGAGGAUUUUGGAGGGUGUUACAAUAUAAAAGCCGAACUUUGGCUUUUGCAAGAGAGGAGCCGCCAGAGGAGAGCAGACACAAGGCUGGAAGAGAGCAAUCGGCAGCAACAGUUCAAUAUUUCUCAUGGCUGGUUUUAUC